CCUUAUAAAGGGGGAGACAGUGGCAGCUAGUUGUUGGCAGAUGCUUGCAGACAGUAAAAAGGCUUCUGCUGGGUCCUGAGUCAGCAGAGGAAAGAUCAAUGGAGUAGGCUAAACUCCUAGGGGCUGCUGCAGCAACCUUUCUUAGGAGUUCCCAGAGCAGGUCCUUCUCCUUGCCCUAUCAGCCCUCAUGGAGGUGGAUUAACUAAUGGUCUAUGAAGGUACAUUGAGCCAAGCUUACACUGCAUUGUGGGCGAGGUGUGAAGGUACUGCAGCCAGUAGGGGUGGAAGGGCCUGCAACAAGACACAGAUGGCUCAGUGCAGGAGCACAGAAUUAAUUCUUGUGGAAUUUCGAGGAUAUAAAAUGUUACUUUCAAAACUGAACUUCAAUAUAUUGUGAAAGAAAUACUUCCAUCCACAGAAGCUCCCUGCAAGCAGCCUGGUUAAUUGCAGUAAAAAGUGCUGAGACAAUGGUAAAUUAAAAAUUCAAAGGGGUGCAUAGCUCAAGAAGUUAUUGAAAGUAAAAGAAACUAUCCUCUGCUGGAGAAAGGACUUUACAGCUGCACACAAAAACACAGAUGAACAUUUCCAGUAUCACCGGUGUGCAGAGCAGAUUGGAGCAGCUUCAUGUUAAAUCUGCAAGAUGGUUCAAGAUGAACAAAAAACUGCAGUGUUCCUGUUGAAUGAUGCGGAUGGAAGGGCUGGGUUUGACUACCUAUAUAAUGUCAUGGACUUCCAGGCCUGCAGAUAUUGAAGUAUCUGCAGAGGCCACAUCUACCGUGCUUUGUGGCAGCCACUUUCUUCACAGACUCUCUAGUCGUGUCUGGACCAAGCUUCCAAUGACCCACAGAGGAUAGGAUGUCUGACCAAGGCAGAUGGCAAAACAGAAACUCCUCUGUAUGUCCUCUACAUGUUUGAGGCACUUUCCUUUUGAAGGACCUGUCAGUAUUAUCCAGCCACUCCCCUUCAGUAGUGUUUCCUGGGGAGGAUUUGGUCCUGGGUAUUUGUGCUGGGGUAACAGAGACAUUGGACUUCUGCAUCAGUACUCAGCCCUUCACACAUGCUGUGAGAUUAGUAGACAUUUGGAUCUGGAUCUUGGGGCAUCUUUGGGUUAGGAAGUCAGUAUUCCCCACUCACUAAGCGGGAAAGCAAAUCUCAUCUCCAACAGGAGUUAAAGCAGUGGCUUUCUGCUUAACUUUUGCCCUCCUGUGGCAUUUUUCUCAGUAAGGUAUGAUUUAACCACCUUUGUAUAUCAAGAAAUAUGAUUAGCAAUGUUUUCUUAACAAAUUUUGCAUUACUAAUCAUACCAGGAGACAGAAAAAUGGAUGUCUGGUAUCCUUUUGACAACAUUUGUGGUGUUAAUCACUAACCCUAACAGGAGUGCUCCAUGGAGGUUGUUGUCUUGCCCCCAAUUUAAACAAUAAGCUAGAUCUAUACCUACGUUUCUCAAAGUGGGGGUCCAAAAGGGGAUUGCAAGACUAUUGUGGGGUGGGGGAUGUGGCAAUCACCUUUUUUCCUUGCAUUCAGAGCAAGGGAGAGUAUGCAAUUUCCUUUAAUCUCUUUUCUCUUUCUGUUUUUGAAAUUAUCUCAGUAAUAUCAACCACUAACAUAAAGAAGAAUUCAAAACCAUUGAAAUAAUGUCAUAGGAUGGAUUUGGCAGAAUAGGUGCAAUACAAAGGAAUUGGCUCCCUGGUGUAUAUUACUACUUUUCAAGUGGCUAUUUUGUCCCACAUUCCUUGUUUUCUCAGCAGGAUAGAUUUAUAACCAAUCUAGAGUGGAAGGGAGUGAACUCCUAUAACAAAAAUAUUUGUAAUGCCAAAGAACUUUGGGCGGUAUAGCACUCCCCAAUUUGGAACCAUAUUAUCAGACAGCAUUACAAUGAGUCAUCAUCUUUUGGCAGCCAAAUCCAAGUACCUGACAGUGGCUGCAUAUAGAAUGGGGAGAAGCUUUAAACAAUAAGCUCAUAAUUACUUUUAGACAAAGUCUAACAAAACAGACCUAUUUUCUGUCCUUCUUUACAUUGUUAGGUCAGAGCAUGCCCUUGUGUGAAGUCAGUGGAGAUGAAUGAUUGUAAAUGAGGCCAAAAUUUGGUCCCUGGAGGCUUACCAAAUAUAUAUAUUCUGUUGUGGGAAGGAGGGAGUUGCAUUUUUUUCUUUGUUUUCAUGUUAAUGUUUCCAUUGAUUCAUUUUGCAUUUAAUGUAACUAAUAAAUAUUUUUUUUAAAAGUA